AAGUCGUAACAAGGUCUCCGUUGGUGAACCAGCGGAGGGAUCAUUAUCGAGUGUUCAACUCCCAAACCCUUUGUGAACCUAUUCCCAAUAUCGUUGCCUCGGCGGGUUAGAACGGCCUCGAGAGGCGGCCCCGCCGGAGGACCCAAACUCUGUUUUUUUUUUUCUCCCCCUGCUUUGCGGCAGAUUUUGUCUGAGUGGAUUGUACCAAAUUUAAAAUAAAUCAAAACUUUCAACAACGGAUCUCUUGGUUCUG
rnacentral:misc_RNA from 1 species